GACGAACGCUGGCGGCGUGCCUAAUACAUGCAAGUCGAGUGAAUCAGCAGGAGCUUGCUCCUGUUGGUUAGCGGCGGACGGGUGAGUAACACGUGGGCAACCUGCCUGUAAGACUGGGAUAACACCGGGAAACCGGUGCUAAUACCGGAUAAUCCUUUUCCUCUCAUGAGGGAGAGCUGAAAGUCGGUUUCGGCUGACACUUCCAGAUGGGCCCGCGGCGCAUUAGCUCGUUGGUGAGGUAACGGCUCACCAAGGCGACGAUGCGUAGCCGACCUGAGAGGGUGAUCGGCCACACUGGGACUGAGACACGGCCCAGACUCCUACGGGAGGCAGCAGUAGGGAAUCUUCCACAAUGGACGAAAGUCUGAUGGAGCAACGCCGCGUGAGCGAUGAAGGCCUUCGGGUCGUAAAGCUCUGUUGUUAGGGAAGAACAAGUACCGGAGUAACUGCCGGUACCUUGACGGUACCUAACCAGAAAGCCACGGCUAACUACGUGCCAGCCGCCGCGGUAAUAC
rnacentral:rRNA from 1 species